GACGAACCGAGCGAACGUUGUUCGGAAUCACUGGGCGUAAAGAGCGCGCAGGCGGUCGUUCAAGUCGAGUGUGAAAGCCCCCGGCUCAACUGGGGAGGGUCAUUCGAUACUGAUCGACUCGAAGGCAGGAGAGGGAAGUGGAAUUCCCGGUGUAGUGGUGAAAUGCGUAGAUAUCGGGAGGAACACCAGUGGCGAAGGCGACUUCCUGGCCUGUUCUUGACGCUGAGGCGCGAAAGCUAGGGGAGCAAACGGG
rnacentral:rRNA from 1 species